AACAAUGGUAAAUUACAGCGGAGCUGGGCUGGGUGCUUUGUAAUGGUUGUUCUCAAAUUGAUCUCUGUCCAGUCUGCCUUGAAAAUAAUGCUUAAGGACUGUUUUCAGCGCAUUGCUCUGCAUGUGCUGUUGUGCCCACUGAGAUGUCGGUGUGUGCUGCAGAGCAACUGAGGCUGCACCGUGCCUUUCAGUUGAACCGUGCCUUGUGCCAAGGAGCAUGCUGAAGCUGCUGUGCAUUAUCACGUGGAAACUCGUGUACAAUGGCCAAUCUGUGUUCCCACGUCGUCUAAAUAAAUGGUUGCUUAGCAUCCAGAAUCAUCCUGCUUGGGAUUAUCUCCCCAUAUGCCAGUGUUGCAGCACUGAAUGGUGUGGAUGUGCAGGGAGAGCAGAGCCUUUUGUUGUUCAUGGCUGUAAGGGGUAGCUGCGAUGAUUUCGGGUUUUGUAAUAGUUGGCCAAAUUCUGGAGGCUUGCCCAAAUAACUCUUAGUUUGCUCCGAAGAUCUUCAGCUCGUGUGUUUGCAGACCUGUGGCCACAGGAUGCCGACAAAUAAAGUGGAUUUUUUAUCAGCAUCACAAAUCUGCUUCGAUAGCAGAGUAUUGAGGAACUUAAGAUUAAGGAAAAAUCACCCCUAUUGCUAAGAGCACUGACUGCAGUUACCAAGGCUCUGCGUUCUGUCAGCACGGUGUGUAAGUUCCUACUUCUUUCAGCCUCGCUGUUGGUCAGAGAGGCACUUGGCACAUUCUGUACAUCCACGUGUUCUCCGGUGGUGCAUCGCGCUGCGCCUGGGCUGCAUUGUGUUGUGCGAACGUGAUUUGCUCACAGCACUGAAAUGAGCGUGGUGAAUUUGCCCCGUUUCCUUGUUUAGAGGGCUUCCAACGCUGUCUGUGCCCUGCAGGGUUUUGCCUGUCUCAUUUCAGCACGUGUUGCUGCUGACAGCAGUAAGGGACAGAGCGCACUUGACCCACUUAGGGCACAAAACCUGCAGGGUGUGCGCCGGCCAAGGCCCUCCUCACUGCGUUCCGUGCUUUGAUUCCUGCCUUUGUCCUCCCAUCUGUUCAUCUCUCCUGCAGCUCUCUGCACCAAGGCCUGCUUGCAGGCUGCUGGCUGCUGGUCCUGCUGUGCCCCCUGCUUUAGGGGCCCCACUCCUUUAGGGGCACGAUGGGCUCCCAUGCCAGUGUCAGUGCUCAGUAACUGCUGGGUUGUGUAGGGUGAUAGGAUUACCCGGUGUAGCAUCAGAAUCCAAGUGCCAGUUUCCUUUUGGUAAGUUCAUCCCAAGCUGUAAAAGUAGAAUGCUGCUCCCGUUGCUCAGAGGCAGCCCGUUCUGCACUCGUGGUGUUUGCAGCUGCUGAAAUGAUUGAUAAGAAAACUCUUCAAAGAAACCAUUAAGGUUUGGUGCUUUAAAAACAAACCCGACUAGAGGGGGAAAAGCACAACCGUAGCAUCGGGUUCCUUUGUGAUAAGGUCUGUGAGAUUUCUCUCACAUAAUGAGUAGGAUGUGAAUACAUCAGUUCAAAGAAACGUGCAGAUCUCUCCUGACAAACGUCGGUACUGGGAGGCACUCACUGUGUCUGCAGGCACUGCUCUCCCAGAAGGUGACCCCAGCUCUGCUACCAGCUAUCACAUUUUACCUCUGGCCGAAACCACGAUGGGGGAAAUAGGUUUUCUACGCUGGGAAACGGUCACUGACCAACCCGGGGUAACAGUGGGUUGCCAGCAGUUGGGCUGCCCUCAGGAGCGCACCUGGAGGUGAGGAGAGGCACGUGAGGAGAGCGCGUCUCAGUAGGAUUCUGUGUGAAAGGGAACUAAUUUCUGUACAUAAAAUAAAGGAAGAUAAAAGAUUGUAACUCUGGGAUUAAACCUGAUGUGCAUCAGUCUGGGUUAGUAAAAAUAAAUGAAGCUUUUAAUGAUUUCAUUUC
ensembl:lncRNA